rnacentral:tRNA from 1 species
UUUAAUUGAAACCAAAAUAGAGGUUUAUCACUGUUAAUGAUAUAAUUGGAAAUUACUCCCAAUUAA